rnacentral:rRNA from 1 species
AGCGGGAAGAGCUCAAAUUUGAAAUCUGGUGGCCUCCGGGUGCCCGAGUUGUAAUCUAUAGAAGUGUUUUCCGUGCUGGCCCAUGUACAAGUCCCUUGGAACAGGGCGUCAUAGAGGGUGAGAAUCCCGUCCUUGACAUGAACUCCCGGUGCUUUGUGAUACAUUUUCAACGAGUCGAGUUGUUUGGGAAUGCAGCUCAAAAUGGGUGGUGAAUUCCAUCUAAAGCUAAAUAUUGGCGAGAGACCGAUAGCGAACAAGUACCGUGAGGGAAAGAUGAAAAGCACUUUGGAAAGAGAGUUAAACAGUAUGUGAAAUUGUUGAAAGGGAAACGAUUGAAGUCAGUCGUGC